rnacentral:pre_miRNA from 1 species
AUGUGGUACAUGUGAAAUUUGAAGUUAAUCAAUUUUUUAGUAUGUUUUUAUAUAUUUUAAGUUGUUAAUUAUUUUUAUAAGUCACAAUAAUUAACAAGUUAAUAUAAAAAAAAACUUAUAAAAAAUUCAUUGACUUUUGAAAUUUCAUUUGUAUCACAUAA